GCACCCUUAGCUCAGCUGGAUAGAGCGUCGCCCUCCGGAGGCGAAGGUCGCAGGUUCGAAUCCUGCAGGGUGCGCCA
rnacentral:tRNA from 1 species